rnacentral:rRNA from 1 species
GACGAACGCUGGCGGCGUGCCUAAUACAUGCAAGUCGAGCGAGCGGAACUAACAGAUUUACUUCGGUAAUGACGUUAGGAAAGCGAGCGGCGGAUGGGUGAGUAACACGUGGGGAACCUGCCCCAUAGUCUGGGAUACCACUUGGAAACAGGUGCUAAUACCGGAUAAGAAAGCAGAUCGCAUGAUCAGCUUUUAAAAGGCGGCGUAAGCUGUCGCUAUGGGAUGGCCCCGCGGUGCAUUAGCUAGUUGGUAAGGUAAAGGCUUACCAAGGCGAUGAUGCAUAGCCGAGUUGAGAGACUGAUCGGCCACAUUGGGACUGAGACACGGCCCAAACUCCUACGGGAGGCAGCAGUAGGGAAUCUUCCACAAUGGACGCAAGUCUGAUGGAGCAACGCCGCGUGAGUGAAGAAGGUUUUCGGAUCGUAAAGCUCUGUUGUUGGUGAAGAAGGAUAGAGGUAGUAACUGGCCUUUAUUUGACGGUAAUCAACCAGAAAGUCACGGCUAACUACGUGCCAGCAGCCGCGGUAAUACGUAGGUGGCAAGCGUUGUCCGGAUUUAUUGGGCGUAAAGCGAGCGCAGGCGGAAGAAUAAGUCUGAUGUGAAAGCCCUCGGCUUAACCGAGGAACUGCAUCGGAAACUGUUUUUCUUGAGUGCAGAAGAGGAGAGUGGAACUCCAUGUGUAGCGGUGGAAUGCGUAGAUAUAUGGAAGAACACCAGUGGCGAAGGCGGCUCUCUGGUCUGCAACUGACGCUGAGGCUCGAAAGCAUGGGUAGCGAACAGGAUUAGAUACCCUGGUAGUCCAUGCCGUAAACGAUGAGUGCUAGGUGUUGGGAGGUUUCCGCCUCUCAGUGCUGCAGCUAACGCAUUAAGCACUCCGCCUGGGGAGUACGACCGCAAGGUUGAAACUCAAAGGAAUUGACGGGGGCCCGCACAAGCGGUGGAGCAUGUGGUUUAAUUCGAAGCAACGCGAAGAACCUUACCAGGUCUUGACAUCUAGUGCCAUUUGUAGAGAUACAAAGUUCCCUUCGGGGACGCUAAGACAGGUGGUGCAUGGCUGUCGUCAGCUCGUGUCGUGAGAUGUUGGGUUAAGUCCCGCAACGAGCGCAACCCUUGUUAUUAGUUGCCAGCAUUAAGUUGGGCACUCUAAUGAGACUGCCGGUGACAAACCGGAGGAAGGCGGGGAUGACGUCAAGCCAUCAUGCCCCUUAUGACCUGGGCUACACACGUGCUACAAUGGGCAGUACAACGAGAAGCGAGCCUGCGAAGGCAAGCGAAUCUCUGAAAGCUGUUUUCAGUUCGGACUGCAGUCUGCAACUCGACUGCACGAAGCUGGAAUCGCUAGUAAUCGCGGAUCAGCACGCCGCGGUGAAUACGUUCCCGGGCCU